CUUGUGUUUCUUACCACCAUGCCCAUGAGAGGGUGGUUUUCCUCCAUGGCUUCCUCCCGAACCAUGAGGUGGUGGAGAUCCAUAAGGUGGAUUCCCAUGUGAAUCUACAAAAAAGAAAAUACUGGAUGAGUAUAAAAAAAAGGUGAUCGUCAGGAAUAUCUUAACACUAAAAAAUAAUUUGGAACUACGAAAUGCGAGGGAAUGUGUGUGUAUAUGUCGUGGUUGGUAGAGAAACCUGUGGGCGGGCUUCCUGCAUGUGGGUCUGGAGUGUAAUAAGUUUUCUGAUCUUCGUUGCCUGCAGACGUCAAAGGGAUAGCUAUGUUUUGAGAAACCAACCCAAGAAUUAGAGUCCAUAGAAGGAGAGAAGCUAGUUUUCUUUCCAUUGUGCUAUGUAUGUUUUACUGAGAAGGAAGGAAAGGAAGACGAUGGAUUAUAUAUUGUUGAUGAAAAUGCAUGAGAAGACUAAACGAUACAUAUAAAAGACGGACUGAGGUAGAGAGUGAAGUAAAUAUUUGCAGGUAGAAGGUUAUGUGGUUAGUUGAUAUGUUGCAGGUGCAUUUAUUCGCUUAUUUACUUCUUGCAUCGUUUGCAAUAAUGUUUGAACAUUGGAGUCGACAACGCAUAUGAAUUCAAAUAAAUUUUUCUGACACUCGCAAGGUAAACUCUCCCUCUCAAUACCUCUCUCCCAAUCCCCCCGCCACCAUAAAACGCGGGACACGUUAACGUAUGUCAUUAGCCCAGUAGGAUAUGUUUUUAUUUUUUAUAUGUACAACAUGUAAAGUGAAAAUUUCAAACUUCAAACUGCUUAGUCGAAAAUGCAUGCCUUAUUGGUUGUGUCAUUCUCAUCCUUAUUGCUUAGUAGCAAUUAAUUCCAUGGAUCACAUUUUCCCUUUUAAUUGCAUCUUAUAUGAUUAUGACUUGAUUCAUGAAGUAAUGCAAAUGCAACAUCUAGAGUCUGCGCCAUGCAUCCCACGCAGGGAAUGCCCAUGGAGAUGUUAUGAGCUCGUGAUCUGAUGAAGAGCAAGUACUCUUAGUUGCCGGUGCUGCCUUAUUGAAUAUUCAGGGCAGCGCAAUAGAUAUUUUUCAUUGCUGGAAUCCUGUGAAACUAUGGAGUACCGGGCUGGAAUAAUGACUUAUUUAACCUAUAUUAAUGAAGGAGCUGAUUCCAUCCUGCCGUCCAUAUCUCAAGCUUUGAGCAAGCUGCUCAAAUUAUAGUUCUCCUUGGCCUUAUUUCCUUGCCUCCUUAAAAGAUCAAUUAUGAAACAAUAACAAGAUUGUGCAGGUACGUGUGGAAUCCAAAUUGGGCGUAGGACUCGAUCAAUUAUUGUCCGAUUUGAUGGUUCCCUGGCUUGAUUACCAUAUAAAGCCUGUCUCUUUCGUGUACUAGUUACAUUAAUGGUUGCACCAUGCUUGGCCCUCUUCCUCUUGUUAUGGUGUUGGACUAAGUUAGGUUUUCGAGGUUGGAUGACUGUCAUGAAGUUGGUUGGUGUGAGAAGAGAAGCUUGAUGGUUUGGUGGUUAACUACUUGUAGCGGCAGAGCUCAAAAUCUUUCACAAAGAGUGUUUGUCUUUGUCAGGAAUAAAAGGAAGCAAACCAAGUCAGAAAGACCAACACACUCAGCAUAUCCACGGGUACAAUCAAGUCUAGCAAGCAGCUCCACGUCAGCCAAAGAAGAGAAUUAUAUAUUGGAAAUAAAAUCUUGAAAAUUGUCCAAAAGCUGUACAUUAUCACCCCAAUUUUUGGACGAGUAAUACAUUAAUAUAUGUAUAUAUCUACAAUGCCAGAGGAGACAAAUUACAAGGUCAAAAGGUUGCUAUAAGAUAAGAUAAAGAGUUGGUUGGUAGAAAACUAAUUUUUUUUUUUCUUUUGGACCAAUAGAAAACUGAAGUUAAUAUCACAGAAUCCAAAAUAUAUUCAUUUUCGAAUAA